CCUACGGGAGGCAGCAGUGGGGGAUAUUGCACAAUGGGGGGAACCCUGAUGCAGCGACGCCGCGUGGGUGAAGGAGUGCUUCGGCAUGUAAAGCCCUAUCGGCAGGGAAGAAGUAAGACGGUACCUGACUAAGAAGCCCCGGCUAACUACGUGCCAGCAGCCGCGGUAAUACGUAGGGGGCGAGCGUUAUCCGGAUUCACUGGGUGUAAAGGGAGCGUAGACGGCCAUGCAAGCCAGGGGUGAAAGCCCGGGGCCCAACCCCGGGACUGCCCUUGGAACUGUGCGGCUAGAGUGCGGGAGGGGCAGGCGGAAUGCCUGGUGUAGCGGUGAAAUGCGUAGAUAUCAGGAGGAACACCGGCGGCGAAGGCGGCCUGCUGGACCGCGACUGACGUUGAGGCUCGAAAGCGUGGGGAGCGAACAGGAUUAGAUACCCGUGUAGUC
rnacentral:rRNA from 1 species